rnacentral:misc_RNA from 1 species
UAUGCAUAACUAAUAUUCAUAAGUUGUGUAUACAAAUACAACAUAACAUCCCGUAGAGGACAAAGAAGGAAACAUCUCGUAGCGCAAUUUACAGAGUACCAAACAAGCAAAGAAGAAAAAAAGGCAAAAACCCAUAAUUAAGCUCAAACACUCUAAACAUAAUUAACGUAGCUAAUUAAUCAAUGAUUUGCAGCAUAUUGAUUGAUUAAGGCCAGUGCAUUGCUAGUAACCUGAGCUAGAUUAGCUAUAUGACUUCUAAUCGAAGCCUUAAUUUUGCCAUUCAAAGCCCGGCCGGCAAAUCCAUCAGUACAAGUAUUCUCAUCUGUAAUAGCAGCACUUACCCAUGUCUCUACGUUACUCAUAUGCCACUGGAAAUCGGCUUUCCCAUGGCUAUGAUCCAAACUUUUCAGCUCAUUCACAGAUCUGCUAAGCCGAUCUAUACUAUCACUCGUUUCCUCAACGCAAUCCUUGAUAGCUGCAUACUCUCUCGGCUUCAAUCCCUUGAAUUUCAACAUCUUGCUGACGAAUCCUUUUGUAGAUCCGGCUUUAUUAAGGCUCACGGACAAAGCCGUUUUCACCAGCUGCAGUUGAUUGUUUUUAAUGGCUUGUGCGUAACCGGAAAGGGAAGCAACGCAUACAUCGGGAAAAGUAGUGGAUUUACAAGAGCUUUUUAUGAAACUGUUGGAGGCUGCGGCGUUUCCCGCCGCGCCGGUGAGGUAGGAAAGAGAGAGGAAAAGUGCUGCGAGAAAUAACAGUUUUGCUGCGGCCAUUUUUGAAUUGGG